AGCCAGCCGAUGACUUAAGCCAGCCAGAUAAGCCCUUUAUGUAUUCCCACCUUAAGCAUAUGAUUGCAUGACUUUACCUUCUUAAUUCUACCAUGCUUAAUAAAAUUAAAAACAAAAUAUUUUCAAAUCAAUGAUUGAAAGAAAGGUAUAUUCGGGCCGCGCUUUAAAUACAUUAACCAGUUUUGCCAUGGAAUUGAAAGACUGAAUUGUUUGGAUCAUAUUUUUGAAUGAAAAUUUCAAAUAUUAUAUCCAUGGCAUAAUUAUUGAGCUGCUGUCAUACGAUAAGAAUUUCAAUUGUGUAUGUUUUAACUGUCAUUUUACAUCUGACUCAUCACCCUUAUUAUGGUUGGCGUUGUCGUAGACGUUUAAAGGGCUAAGUACAUAAGAAGCUUGAAGUCAUGGCUAGGCAUAUUUGUGACAUUUCACAAAGGGAUUCCAGAGCCGCACUAAAAUCCAGCCGUCGUUUUCCAUUAUAAUUUGACAUUAAAAUGCCUAGCCAUGACUUCAAGCUUCUUAUGUACUUAGCCCUUAAGUGUCGUAGACGUUGUCGUAGGCGUUGUCGUAACUAAUUUUUUUGGUAUUAUGUACAAUUUUCGAAUACGUCUUUUUUGUGAUAGAUGUGAAAAAGCAGGGUGCUCUGGAAUAACAAACAUUUGUAGAAUUUAUGAGCUACCUGGGUAAAAAAAUAAAAUCGUCAGUUGAAGUAAAACGAUUUUUUGUUAAAUUAAAUAUAGAAAUAUGUUAAGUGUUGGCAAUUUUUUAUCUGAGGAUGAAGAUGAAUAUCUUCAAAAUGAUUUAAACGUAAGGCGAAAAAUAUUGCGAUUCGUUAGUUACUUCAGGCUUAGUAAGGAUGCAUUCAAUUAUGUUUUGGCUCAAAUCACUACAGAUUUUCGUAGCCGUAGCCAAGCAUACUAGCAGCAACGAUUCGAAUACUGGCUGAAGGAAGUUAUCAAAAGGGCGCUGGUAAUGAUUUCCAUGUCAGUUUAUCACAGUCGUCUGUCAGCAAAGUGUUCCGCGAGUGCAUAGAAGUAUUGCAUAAUAAGCUGUGUCCAGAUUGGAUCUCUUUUCCCACUGCAGAAGAAGAGAAAUAUGAAAUUAAGGAACAUUUUUUGAACAAUACUGGAUUUCCUGGAGUGAUUGGGUGUAUAGAUGGGACGCACAUAAAAAUUGUUGCGCUGAAAAUGGAAGAGACUUUCAAAUACCUGAACCGAAAAGGUUUCUAUAGUCUUAAUGUAACGGUGGUGUGUGAUCACAAAUUAAGAAUUAGAUAUAUAACGUCACACCAUCAUGGAUUCGUUCACGAUUCGUUGGUUCGGAAUACAAGUGAUUUGAAACAACACUUGAAAGAAAACUUUGAAAAUGGCGAAAGAAAUACAUGGAUAUUAGGUGACGCAGGAUAUCCAUUGGAAAAAUUUUUAUUUAGAUCUGCUGACGAAGGCUCACCAGAGUGUAGAUUCAA